rnacentral:lncRNA from 1 species
AGCAAUACAAAGUGCUACAACACAAAUGUGCAAAACAAUCUAUACAAAGUAUCCCUUGUAGUUGUUGCCAACAAGCCAUAGCAAUACAAAAAUGAAACCACACAAACUUAAAUACACAAUGCUUAGAACGACAUCCACUUCUACGUAAAUAUAAAAAUGGAAUCAUUUUGAAACUAUUCACCCGAGUUAAUAAAACAAUGUAUUACAAAAUUUAGUCAAAUAUACAUUCACUAGUCUUCAUUUUAAUUCAAAUCUAAAGUUUGGUCGUUGAAAAGAUAUUUUUCAGAAUGUCCCAAGCUUUGCACAUCCUAAGCUCAUGUGCUAUUUUAAAUCUUAAGCUCAUGUGCUACUCUAAAUCUAAAGUUACAAGCCUCGUUAGGAGUCCACCUCGGUUCCUUCAUGAUAUUUAUCCGGUGCAAAAAGAAACCUACGUACUUUGCAACAUAUACGCCACAAUCGUCUAAAUUAUAUUGUGUCGGCCUAUUCACACAGACUUCAACUUUCGGCUUCGAUAUUGGCACUUUGUUGUAGGAUUUGCUUGACGAAGCAACAAAGGAAUUAACUCCACCUGUAAACCACAAAGCCAUCAUUUAAUUCCCAAUAUACAAUAUAUGUAUGUGUAAUGACAUGAAAACAAAUAAUAUACCCAAGACAUGUGCCCAUAACCAACCAUUGGAUCUCAGACAGUUCACAUCCUUAAACUCUAAGUUGUAUAGACCGCCUAGAUGGAUACGAGGAAAGUUUGAUGGGUCGUGAGUUGGACUAAAUCAAUGGUGAUUUAACCAAGUGAUUUUCUCAAUCUUUAAGUAAUUAACAAAGUGAGUGUGCUUUGUUACCUCUCUCCUUCUAACUGUCAAUUUCCAACUAUGUCAAGUAGAAGGGUCAACGCUAGGCUGAGUCUCUUGAACCGUAGGCUGGGAUCCCAUCAUGUCAAUCUCCAUUUGUCUAACUUGAGGUUGCGUUGUAUUUGGAUUGAUUGGAACCCCUCUGUAAUCAUUCAUGAACGGUUGGUACAGUGUAUUGAACCAUGUCUCAUACAUGGUUCUUAACUCAGGUGGUUGUUCAAUUGAAAAAAACUUUUCAAAUAUAGCGUUUGCAGUCUCAAUCUACAAUUAAAAAAACAAAAUUUAUAUUAAUAAAACAAGGUCAUCAAUUUAAAACACAAAAACAUUAAUAAAUAUUAUAAAUUGAACAACUUACAAUGUUUACAACCACAUAUGGGUCAAUGAAUGUCCGUGGCUCAUAAUCUUCCCCUUGAUGCCUAAAGGGUCGAGGAUGGUGUAUCCGUCUCCGAGUAACUUCUCUAUACCAUGUCAUAUAAUCCUCGAUAGAUAUUUGCGGCAAAGCCUCCAACACUUGCCCUUCUAAACUCUCCAUGUAGGCCUCCCACAAUCGAAUAUAAUCAACUCUAUGAUUUUCAUAAUUUCUUCUCUCAAAUAAUUUAUGUUCUUCCCUCAAUUCCACCAUAUUUUCAGCAUUAGACGGAUAGGAUUGCAAAUAUCCAAAUUGCCUCAUAAAUCUGUCAGGCAUUUGGAACUCAACAAUGUCGUAAUGUAUCAAAGGUAUGCGAGCGGCUCCACCUAACCUUGCCUCAAAAAAGUCCCAAGGCAAACGUCUAUCAAAUAACUGAUAUGGACGCCACACCCCAUCAGUUUCCAACAUAUUAUCAAACUCUCCUCGGUAAAACACAAGAUGGUGAUGUGGAUUUUUUCGACGUUGAUAAUGUUUUGAAUUAGGAUCAAAAGAGGAGUAUGCCCAGGAUAAUGCCCUAGGUAUCAACUUCUGGGACUUAGGCCUAGGGGUAGGACGACCAAUGUUAAACCUUUCAUGAGCCCACAUCAUAAGAAGGGUCGCACAUCCUGCGAAUUUUCUCGUUUUUUUGCGAGUAGCAUCAUGCAAACACCUAUACAAAUGCCCUAAAACGGCUGCCCCCCAAGCAUAUGUAACUAUGUCUUCCAAUCUUUCCAAUAACAACAAAUAUCUAGGAUGCACAACAUUUUUACUCUUUGUUGGAAACAAAAUAGCUCCACACAAAUACAACAGAUAUGCCUUAGUGUGUUUUACCACAUCAUUUGUAGUAGCAUCAUCAGGUACUUGUCCAUAUCUAUGUCUUAACCAAGGCAAACUUAUGCCCCCCCCUUUUAUAGCAUUGUUCCCAGUCAUCUACUGCAGCUUGUUGCCCAAAAAUCCUUAUAAAAUAGCUUUUGGGAUGUUCUAGUUCUCCACAAGUCAAAGGUUUUCCUAAUAUGGGCAACCCGAAUAAAAAUCUCACAUCCUCUAUAGUAAUGCUAAUCUCUCCACAAUUUAAGUGAAACGUAUUUGUUUCACUUCUCCAACGCUCAACUAGGGCAGAUACAAGAGAUGCAUCAAUCUUUGACACUAUAGUUUGAUGACAAAAUAUACCAAAACCUAAUUGUUCCAGUAGAUAUUCUUGUUGUUCAGUCAAGUUCCAUUCAGUUAAUUUUGCAGACAUUUGACAAAUUUCUAACACGCCCCUAUCCUACAAGUCCAACAACAUACAAACAUAAAUUGUCACAACAUGAAUGUUUCUAACAAAAGUUUAAGAAAGUGAAAGUUGUUAUACAAUAAUAAACUUACAAUAUUUUGCCAUAAGUCUGACGAUACGUGAUUUUCUUGGUCCCAUAAGACAAUAAGAUUAAUAGGUCCGGGAUUAAUAUCCAUAUCUUACCUAAACAUUCAUCACAAUGUCAAGUAUUAAACAAUUUAUAAAAAUUCUCAUCAAACUUGGAUAUGAGCAAAAUGACAAAUAUACUUGGUCAAUUAUUAACACCUAAAAUCAAUCAUGUUAGUUGGAUGCAUUAGUUUAUUGAAGUACAUGACAUACAAAUUAAAUAAACAUAGAUAUCGCAAAUUUUGGGGUCGAAAUGGAAGACAGUCACUACAGAAGAGAAGAAGCCUUAUGAGGAAAAGUAUCAAGAUGAGAAGGAACCCUAUUUGAAGAUAAUUGGGAACGAAAAAGCGAGAGAAUGAAGCAAUGAACCUCUUGAAGGAAGAGCAAAAACAGAUUACAGUUAUGGAGUUGCUUGAACAAUAUAUGCACUUUAAAGAUGAAACGGAAACGGAUAAGAAGAAAAAAAAGUAAAUCUCAGUACCCUUUCUCUUUCUCUUUCACUUUCUCUGUCCCACUCUUCAUUUUUCAAUCUGACAAUUAAUUAAUUCUCAAAUGGGAUUUGGUUUGUUUGGCUAUGUAGGAAAUAAGCAGAGAAGAAAAGUAGGGUUGGAACUAGAAAGCUGCAGGAGCUAUGGAUGCAUACAAGAAGGAAUUGGAAGAAUACAACAAAUCUGCAGCAGAAGAGAUCACAAGUUCAAACAGCCCCCAGCUGUGAAAAAACUCUAUUGAUGUUCAAGUUGUUCUGUUGAACAUCUGCGAGUUCCUGCUCAUUUUCAUCAGCCAGUUCUGUGGCUUAAAGUUCCAGUCUUUUUUAAACUAGUUUUCAGAAUUUUAAACACAAUUUGCACUGCUCUCAAGAGAUAUCUUCAGCUAUAAAAUGAGUACUAGAAAUUGUUCAAGUAUGUUUUAAAUUUUUAUUUUUGUUUCACAAAUUUGUUCGGCUCCAAAUGAUGCUAACCAUAGAACUUUUUUUCUCCCCAACUUACACAAUAUAAUGGUUUGAUAAUCUUUUCAAUUUGGAUUCAUCAAAGAAAACUAAUUAUCGUAUAGAGAUUAAAAAUCCUCUGAAAACCAAGUACAGAGAUUAAAAACCAUUUGAAAGAAGAUGAUCUACCAACCCCCAAUAAUUAAUUACAAGCAAAACUAUAACGAAUUUUACAAAUUCUAAAGUUCCAAAUCAAACUGGCACAUGAAAGUUCAGUUUUGUUUCUCGUUAAACAAAACUAUCCAACUCCAUAAAUUUUACACACAGCAACAGAAAAGUGGAGAGAUAAAGUAAACUACAGUACAAAACAAAAAUCAAACAAAAACCCAAAAUAAAAACAGGUAUAUAUAUACAACAGUGGAUUAAUUUUGUCAUAUAAAUAGUAAUACCCAUAUAUGAGAAAACUAAUCUAGGGGUUACUUAAAUUCAAAAAACUUUCUGAUUAAAUAACAAACUUACCUAUUAAAUAAUGCUGAUUAGCUUGCUGUAGAACACAAAUUUUGGACACACGAUACCAAAUUUGCACAACUUGUUACCGAUCUGUAGUCAAGUGGGAACUAUGAGAAAUCGCAGCAGCUUUAGACUUGGGAGAUUAAAUAACCAACUUACCAAUUAAAUGCUGAUUAGUUUGCUGUAGAACACAAAUUUUGGACGCACAAUGUCAAAUUUACAUUACUUGUUGCCGAUCUGCAGCCAAUUGCGAACUAGGGUUCAUGUGAGUUUUGUUACCUUUUGGCUCAUGAGAAAUCGCAGGGUUUUGCUGAGUUUUGUUGCCUUUUUCCCCAAUUCGUUUUAAUAUGCGUCCGCUAGUAGCGGACUAGUGUUUGUUAUUAAC